ACGGAGGGUCCGAGCGUUGUCCGGAAUUAUUGGGUUUAAAGGGUACGUAGGCGGAAUAAUAAGUCAGAGGUGAAAUCCUGCAGCUCAACUGUAGAACUGCCUUUGAAACUGUUAUUCUUGAGUAUGGUAGGGGUAAGCGGAAUUUAUAAUGUAGCGGUGAAAUGCAUAGAUAUUAUAAAGAACACCGAUAGCGAAGGCAGCUUACUGGACCAUAACUGACGCUAAUGUACGAAAGCGUGGGUAGCGAACAGG
rnacentral:rRNA from 1 species